rnacentral:rRNA from 1 species
UACGGGGGGAGCAAGCGUUGUUCGGAUUUACUGGGCGUAAAGGGCGCGUAGGCGGCGCAACAAGUCAGUUGUGAAAUCUCUGGGCUUAACCCAGAGCGGUCAACUGAUACUGUCGUGCUAGAGUGCGGAAGGGGCAACUGGAAUUCUCGGUGUAGCGGUGAAAUGCGUAGAUAUCGAGAGGAACACCUGCGGCGAAGGCGGGUUGCUGGGCCGACACUGACGCUGAGGCGCGAAAGCUAGGGGAGCAAACGGG